GCUCAACCUUUCGGACACCUGGUCCUACGAAUCUACCUUUAAGAUUUGAAAACCACAUGCUUUGCAAUUAGUACUCAAUGGAUUGCUGACUUUCUUCUUGGAUUUCCCUUAGUCUAUGAUGAGGAAACUGAGGCCACGGAAAAGCCAUAGGACCUCCUUGUGGAAGAAUCUCGAGUCCCUGCCCUGAGUUGGUUCUUCAGGGCUGUGGUCCAACGAGUGAAGCCUGAGCUUCACAGACUCCCCAACACACAGGCGCCUCACAGCCUUCUUGUGCUUAGGAACACUAGACAGCGCUUCAGCAUAUGCUUGGGAGUCAUUUGAAACAAUGAAAUCACCAACAAAAAGCACAAAAAUGUGAAAAACGUGACACUGAAUAGACCAUGAAAAGGGUGCUUGUUUACAGUAAGAGAAACAA
rnacentral:lncRNA from 1 species